GUUUUGCUUAUCUAAGUGAUGAGGCUAAUAAGGUAAAUUCAUUGUUAUGAAUUCACAAAUGUAAAUGCAAAUGUAAAUUCGCAAAUGUAAGCCAGAAUAACAUGCGACAAACAUAGUUUAAGGAACUGGAAAUACGCUGUUUCUGAUCUCACGUGCUUUACAUUUAAAUGGGAGAAACAGAGGAGAAAUAAUAUAUCAGCCUGUGUGCACUGCCAUGAGGCGGACUCUCAUAGUUUAAUUCUUAGGCCCAGCCAGAGAUGCCAACAGGAUACGGGAGAAAUGUUUCCUCCCCGACAAUGUUGAAAGAAGGUCUCCCUGAGAAGGCAACCGUAGCUCUAAGGCACAGUUAUCCAGAGAUCUCACUGGCAGAGGCUGAUGAAGAGAUGAAUUAGGGACAAGAGAACGCACAGCACAACGGACUUCCGGAAUUUCAUCAGAGUUCUCUCCCCAGAUGACAUGACUGGAACAUCAACUCUUGGGAUGCUGUUGGGAAAUAAUCAGCAUUUAUGAAGUUGGCAAUACAUGCCACAUUGGAUGCACCCUCAUGCCCCAAAUCUUUUAGCUUUGUUAUGGAAGCAAAAGAAGUCGACAUGAUCUCCAUUCCCAACUGCCGGCUCCUUAAAGGAUGAAGACUUCCCUCGGAUCACCAGAGCUCCCCACCUCACUAAGUUUAUGCUAAGGGAUGGUGAGGCAGGAUUUGGAAUCUUCCAGAAGUCCAUUCAGUGGACUUCACAAUACACAGGUGUAGUCCACAGGCUGCAAAUACCGACCCCACUAUGUCAUUUAACAUUUGCUCACAUACCGAAAAAUGUGAUGGGAACACUUUUAAGUUAUUAGAGCCAAAAGGAUCAAAAUGAACAAUAAUGAUUUUAAGAAAGGAAAGUAGUUUUAACAUGAAGUAAAUAUUUUAUUAGUAAGAUUCCUAAGCCUGAUUCAUAUGUGAAGAAAAAUCAUAUUGCUAUGAAAAAAAAUGAGAGAAAAAGAAGACAUUAUUUAAAGUAAAAAAUAAGAAUAAUCAUAAACAGCCCAACAGAUACUGCUGAAAUUUCGAUUGGCAAUUUAGAAAGCCAAUUUUGGGGGGGACUAAGAAAAUCAGUCACUCACUAUUAGGGAUCAAAAAUAAGUUAGAAAUUGUUCUGAGUGUCAGAGUUUGGACCAUCUGUACAACAGGUGCUGACCUGAUAUAGUAAAAUAUCUGUAAGUGUUGUGAAUGUUGCAAAAAGGGAAAUGCAAGACAUCACAGAAGCUCUUCCUUGGGCCAAAAACUGGGGGAACCAAAUUUUCUAUGGUGUCAUCAUUCUUAAAUCAGCUUUCACCCUCUAUAAGCUGUAUGAACUUGGACGAGUUACUUAACAUGUCCUAGUUUUCUCAACUAAAUAUGGCACCAAGAUAAUCGCACUUAAAACAUAGUGGGUUUGUAUUAAAUGAGUUAAUACAUAUACAAUAAAAUACUAUCUAGAAGAAAACAAACGUUAGCUGCUAUUGACUUUUUAUUGUAUUAUUAUGGUUACUGCUUUAGAAUUGUUAAUUUAUCUGGGAUUCAUUUUUGUGUGUGUUUGCAACAAUGGCCUAAAAUUGUCCCCAAUUGGUCCAUGUUAUGGGCCGAAGUGUUGAUUUAUUCAUACCCUAAAUGUGUGCUGUGUAUAUGUCUUAAAACUACCUAGUCAUUCUAUGUCUAUGUCUCUAGUUCUCUUGGUGACUAGUUAAAUAAAGUUUGUACAAAUAUUCAACAAACUUUUAACAGUAAUUCUUUCUUAAGUCUGUGUGGUGGGGAGAGUAAAGCUUUCAUUACUUAAAAAUAUGUGUACA
rnacentral:lncRNA from 10 species